UGUCAUUUUGGAACGUAACCCGGAUGUAAUCCCUCUGUGACAGCUCGCGCUUGGACACUCCGGAAGUUAUCGUCGGUUUUGGUGACGCUGCAUUAGACUGCGAGACAUGGACCGGUCCAAGCUGCUCGGAGUGUUUCUCCUCAGCCUGGCUCUUGCUGGAGCUCAGGCUCUCACACCGGCGCACUACCUCUCCCUGUCUGAUGUGGCCCGACUGCAGAACCUGCUGAGCCAACAGUUCACCGACCUGGAGUCCGCGUACUAUUCGGUUGUGGGUCUCACCAAGCUUGGAGCAACUGUGCCCGAUCACAAGGAAGUAUGCCAGUUCCUAAAAUCCCAGCUUGACCCCACAAGUGUCGACUCUCUCUUCUUUGCUGCUGAGACCAGUCAAGCUCUUUCAGGAUGUGAGAUCCCUGUAUCCAACGAAACCCGUGACAUCCUCCUGGCCGCAGUCAGUGAGGAUUCGACAAUGGCUCAGAUUCAUCGGGCCGUAAGUGCGCUCAGCUCUCUAGGACUUCCUCUCACUUCGCAGGAAGCUGUCGGUGCCCUGACAGCUCGCAUCAACAAGGAGGACAAUGUCCUGGCAAUCACCUUAGCCCUGCAAACAGCAUCCCGCCUGUCCCAGCAGGCUGAACUUGGAGGAAUACUGGAGGAAAUUGAGGAUCUGACAGCUCGCUUGGAUGAUCUUGGCGGCAUGUACCUUCAGUUUGAAGAGGGACUUGAGGCAACUGCAAUGUUUGUGACUGCUGCUUAUUCCCUGUCAGAUCAUGUGGACGUGGAGCCCCCUCUCAAGGAGGACCAGGUCAUCCAGCUAGUGAAUUCUAUCUUCAGCAAGAAAUCCUGGGACUCUCUGGGUGAGGCCUUCAGUGUGGCAAGUGCCGCUGCCGCCCUGUCCAGCAACCGCUUCCAUGUGCCAGUUGUUGUCAGCGUUCAGGGCCCAGCCACGGUGUCCCACAGCCAGCCAACACUGCAGCUCCUUGUUACUGAUGUCAUGUCUCAACCUCUGGCCUCUGCCAACGUCUUAGUGGAAUCUGCGUAUGCUGUUGCCUCCAAGAGCAUCAUUCUCAACCAAGCACCGUUCACACUUAAUGAUGGCGUCUUUGAACUGAACUUCAUGUCCAGCCAGCCAGCCAGUGGAUAUUACCAGUUUAGUGUUGCAGUGACUGGGGACAGCCGACUGGUUGCCAAUCAUGUUGAGCUUAAAGUCAAAGUGUCCACCGAGGUGGCUGUUACCAACAUGGACCUCUCUGUGGUGGAUAAAGACCAGAGCAUCGGCACAAAGACCACGAGGGUGGAUUAUCCUUCCAAAGCCAAGACCUCCUUCACAGCAGACAGCCACAUCAACUUUGCCAUGUCCUUCCAGCUGGUUGACAUCAACACUGGAGUGGCGCUCACCCCUCACCAGACCUUUGUCCGACUGCACAAUCAGAAAACUGGCCAAGAGGUGGUUUUCGUGGCUGAACCCGACGACAAGAAUCUGAACGUGUACAAGUUUGAGUUGGACACGACCAAGCAGAAAUCGGAGUUUGACUCUAUUUCUGGCACCUAUUCCCUUUACCUCAUUGUCGGAGACGCUACCCUGGAGAAUCCCAUCCUGUGGAAUGUGGCUGACAUUAUCCUGAAGUUUGUGGAUGAGGAAGCCCCAGCUACUAUUCAGUCCAAGACUCUUUAUGUACCAAAACCAGAGAUCCAGCACCUGUUCAGGACACCAGAGAAGAAGCCUCCCACUGUGGUUUCCAACACCUUCACCGCACUCAUCCUGUCUCCCUUCCUUCUGCUGCUCAUUCUGUGGUUUAAGCUCGGAGCCAACAUCUCCAACUUCAGCUUCUCUCCAAGCACCAUUCUGUUCCAUGCCGGACACGCAGCCAUGCUGGGCCUCAUGUACGUCUACUGGACCCAUCUGAACAUGUUCCAGACUCUGAAGUACCUGGCAAUCAUUGGCGGUGUAACUUUCCUUGCCGGGAACCGCAUGCUGGCCCAGAAAGCAGUGAAGAGGAUUGCUGCAGAGCAAAGUAGUAGGUUGGCAAAGUAUAGGAGUCUACGAUAAAGCCCCCCCCCCCCCCCCAUUUGUAACAAAUGAGUCGGUUCUGCUUCCGUUCUAAAAACUGAGAAAAAAUAAGGACAAGAACAUUGAAAGAUGGCACCAACGAGACUCUUUUUUUUUUGUUUCCAAGGAGUCGUUCAACAAAAUCAGACUUUACAAAAAGAAUCCAAUUGACGGUUUUACCAUGCAGUUUGUCUGUGUUGCCAAAUGGAAGAAUAUGAGACGUCACAGUGUCUCUGAGAAACUGGACAAACUCUCACUGGCAGAUUCUCCUACAGAGGACUGUAGAGCUACUGAUCAUUGCACUUCAUCUUCCUGUGAGAUUUGUUUUCUUUUCGCCCAACAUGCCAGUGCUUUCUAGGUGGGCUUUUUAUUUGUGGUUUUGUGAUGAAGUUUGGGUUUUGUCUUUUUUUUUUUUUGUUGUACAUUCCUCUGUUGACACUCGGUGCCCGUUUUAUCUUGUAACAAAAGCUCACAUUUGACAACUGAUAAUAAACCACUGGCAGUAGCACUGACACUCGGAUCAUUACUGACUAUGACGGUGUGUUUGCCUGUGGUAGUCUACUAUUUGAUACAGACUUCAUUUCCCUUAGAAAAAUUGCGAAUAAUAAAAUACGGGCAAUUUGAGGAUGUGAUGUUUUUCUAAUGAAGAGGAGGAAAUAAAGAAGUUGAGGUGGGA